rnacentral:tRNA from 1 species
GGGCGAGUGGCGCAGCGGGAGCGCAGGGCCCUUACAAGGCCAAGGUCGGGGGUUCAAAUCCCUCCUCGCCCACCA